GGGGAAUAUUGGACAAUGGGCGCAAGCCUGAUCCAGCCAUGCCGCGUGAGUGAUGAAGGCCUUAGGGUUGUAAAGCUCUUUUAGUGGGGACGAUAAUGACGGUACCCACAGAAAAAGCCCCGGCUAACUUCGUGCCAGCAGCCGCGGUAAUACGAAGGGUGCAAGCGUUAAUCGGAAUUACUGGGCGUAAAGCGUGCGUAGGCGGCUCUUUAAGUCGGAUGUGAAAUCCCCGGGCUCAACCUGGGAACUGCAUCCGAUACUGGGGAGCUAGAAUGUGGGAGAGGGAAGUGGAAUUUCCGGUGUAGCGGUGAAAUGCAUAGAGAUCGGAAGGAACAUCAGUGGCGAAGGCGACUUCCUGGACCAACAGUGACGCUGAGGCACGAAAGCGUGGGUAGCAAAC
rnacentral:rRNA from 1 species